CCCGCUCCUGCCUUGGCUUCACCCGGGAGACAGAAGCCUCUGGAAAUCAGCACCGCCAGUCACAGCUUGGAGCAGCUCCUGCUGGCAGCCAGAUCCUGCUUCCAGGUAGGAAUAAAGGCAGAGGUAGAGAUGUACAUACAGAGCAGCCCUUGGAACAUACAAUAAAUGUGCAAAUAUAUGGAGACAUUUGUGAGGAAUUAUUUCAGCUGUUAUGCCAACAGUGCCUUCUCUCCUAGCUCUGUGCAAUGCUUUUGGGCCAUUUUCUUGGUGUGGUUUCCUUUGCUUUGGUCCCAUCUGACUGCUCAGUUGGGGCACAGUCUGUAGGUGCUUGGGGGACUCUUGGAGUUACUCUUGGACCCCUUGAACAGGUUUUGGCCCACCAGGGGAGUUUGUGCUGCUUUGUGACAGAGGAGAAUUUCCCAGGCUAUUUUGUGUUUGCUGAAGGGAAGGUUGAGCUGCUUUGCAUUAAUUCACAGACCAACGCAGAAUGUUUGCUUUGUGAUGUCAGGGCAUGGUCGUCACGUUUUUGUGACACUAGCCUUGUUUUUUCUUGUGUUGCAGCACAAUGUCCAGACUUAUACAGCUACAAUGAUUGAGAAACUCACUGCUGCAGUUUUAACUGCUUAUGGUAUCUAUUAUGCUGGCUAUUACCUGUCUAACCUGGCACGUCACCUGAGCCAGGUAUACAGAGGUGCCCAUCCUGGGAGCCCAGAACCAACAGCACACUCUCCUCUGGCUCCCAGUGCUCCUGGAGAUGAGACCAAAGUGGAGCAAAAUGACUGCAGGCCUUCAGCUGUGGUGACACCACAGUCUAAAUAUUCCAAGGCGAAAAUCAAGGCAGAGCUGCAUGAAACUCAGAGUGAUAUCAAGGCAGUGAAGAGGAAGAACAAGAAAGACAUGGAAAAAACUCAAGAUCACUGGAAUCUCUAUCAGAAGAGGGGCAAUCUACAAAACCAGGAGAGUGAAAGAGUGGCAACCACUCCAUUCAAAAAAAUUUCUCUCUCUCGUUCUUUACAGAACUUCACUAAGAAGCUGCGAGCAGGGCAGCAGGAAGCUCAGGCUACGUUCAAGGCAAAGAAAAAGAGGCUGGAGGAAGAAAUUAAAAUCAUUGAAGAGGAAAUUAGUCCCCUGCUUCAAGCUGUACAAAAACAAGUGGAGGUAUUGACAUCUCACCUGGCAGCCUGCAAAGGAUUACGGCACAUAGCUCGACACAAAAAACCCCGAGGUCGGCGUAAGACACAGGAGCGGUCCCAAUCGGAGAUGCUGCAGGUUGGGCAGGAACCAAAGAUGGUGCAUGAAAAGAGAGUUCAAUGGGAGGAGGUAGAACAUUAAAACAAGGAG
rnacentral:lncRNA from 12 species